AAGAGUUUAAACCACAUUUUUAAACAUUUCAGCACCCAAGGACACAUAUUUAACAAGGCAUUUCGUAAGCAUUGUGGGCAUUUCCAGGGGUAGUUUUAUGACCCUGGUGGUAGUUUGACCCUUCUUCUGUAUUAUGACCCUAAAGAAUCAUGCAUUAGAUUUCCGCAGCCCAAAACAAGAAGAAGAACAUGUAUUAGAACUCAACUCAAGACACUUCUCCACCUGAAAUUGACCUCUCAUUUGGCUACUAUUCACUUUUAUCUUUUGUAGGAACAGCAAUUAGUGGGGUAUUUUUUUCUACACUGUUUUUGUUGUUGUUGUUGUUGCCCUUGAGCUGCUUCCUUUCCUGUAAAAAAAAAAAAAAAAUGACCUCCCUUUUAGCCUUUGAAAAUAGUUGAUGUGAGGGAUGGAAGCGUUUGACAAUACCGACCUUUGUGUCUCAUCAACUUAGGAAAGAAAAUAAGACGUGGAUUAAAAAAAACAGUUGCGGAAAGUGAAAAUCAUGACUAACGGAAACUAUAUUAAGCGUCACUGAUUAAACUUCCUAUUUCAAUGUUACCUUUCUCAGCUCAGGUGCUCAGAACGACUUAGAUUUAUCGUGUUUUCAAAUACAAUAAUAGUGAAAAAAAGGAAAAAUGAAAGAAAGAAAAAGAAAAGAGGUUCACAAGUGCUAUUUGAUGGAAAAAAAGGAAAGUAAAAUGGAAAAAAAAAAAAUUCAGUUUGUCGACAGAGGUGUUAUUUCUGACGUUAAAAAAAAUAAAUAAAUAAAAACGAAAGAAAGAAAAAAAUAGAUGGUUGACAGAGGUGUUAUUUCUGACGUUAAAAAAAAAAAAAAAAACGAAAGAAAGAAAAAAAUAGAUGGUUGACGGAGGUGUUAUUUCUGACGUUAAAAAAAAUAAAUAAAAUAAAAAUAAAAACGAAAGAAAGAAAAAAAUAGAUGGUUGACAGAGGUGUUAUUUCUGACGUAAAAAAAAAAAAAUAAAUAAAAUAAAAAUGAAAGAAAGAAAAAAAUAGAUGGUUGACAGAGGUGUUAUUUCUGACAUUAAAAAAAAAAUUAAAAACGAAAGAAAGAAAAAAAUAGAUGGUUGACGGAGGUGUUAUUUCUGACAUUAAAAAAAAAAAUAAAAA